rnacentral:rRNA from 1 species
UACGUAGGGGGCAAGCGUUGUCCGGAUUUACUGGGCGUAAAGAGCGUGUAGGCGGCCACGCAGGUCCGUUGUGAAAACUGGGAGGCUCAACUUCCAGACGUCGACGGAAACCGCGUGGCUAGAGUCCGGAAGAGGAGAGUGGAAUUCCUGGUGUAGCGGUGAAAUGCGCAGAUAUCAGGAAGAACACCAAUGGCGAAGGCAGCUCUCUGGGACGGUACUGACGCUGAGACGCGAAAGCGUGGGGAGCGAACAGG